rnacentral:rRNA from 1 species
CCUACGGGAGGCAGCAGUGGGGAAUAUUGCACAAUGGGGGAAACCCUGAUGCAGCGACGCCGCGUGAGUGAAGAAGUAUUUCGGUACGUAAAGCUCUAUCAGCAGGGAAGAAAAUGACGGUACCUGAGUAAGACGCCCCGGCUAACUACGUGCCAGCAGCCGCGGUAAGACGUAGGGGGCAAGCGUUAUCCGGAUUUACGUGGUGUAAAGGGAGCGUAGACGGCAGAGAAAGUCUGGAGUGAAAUCCCGGGGCUUAACCCCGGAACUGCUGUGGAAACUGUUCGGCUGGAGUGCAGGAGGGGUAAGCGGAAUUCCUAGUGUAGCGGUGAAAUGCGUAGAUAUUAGGAGGAACACCAGUGGCGAAGGCGGCUUGCUGGACUGUAACUGACGUUGAGGCUCGAAAGCGUGGGGAGCAAACAGGAUUAGAUACCCUUGUAGUC